ensembl:lncRNA
UCUGUCAAGAAAUAAAAAGACCUGGUGCUAUUCUGAGUGAUGUGGAGCAGAGACCUGCUUCUCGGACAAUUGUGAAACACUCCACGGUGGAUUUACUGGGAUUGCAGUCAUUGUCCUGAGUGAGGAGUAGUGAGGAGUAGCUCUGGUUGCUACCCUGGUAUUGGAACAUUGUGCAACCAGGUUGGGUGUAUUCCCAGGGUAAACCGAUUUGACAAAAACCACGACUGAGGGUCUUACUUACCAUCAUAAAAAGAUCAGGAGGACGACGUCUCUCAGCAGAUUUCACCCAGUUUCCCUCAGCACUGAUGACUUGCAUGUCAGACAGCAUGUUUUUGCAAUUAGACCAAAACCAACUGCCAAACAUGACGUAUGUGUAAGUUUGCAAACAGUGUCAUGUUACCAAGGUGACAAUGCACCAACAACAUCACUUUUAAAAAUAUAACUGAGCACUAAUGCAAAGGCUAACUCAACUACACCUCGAACUAAUAGGAAAAAUCCCCAAAACAGAGCCGCAUGCUCUCUGUAAAUUCAAGUUUCUUAUUGAAUCAUAAACGUCAAAUAAUAAACUCAGAACCUGCCGAGGGACUCUGACAGACUACAGCGGCUCCAGUCACGGCUUUCAGAAAUCAAAUAAAGGAGGAUUUCUGAUUUUCAUGCAGAAAUCCGUCUCAGCUCCACAGAGUGGGAAAUAAAUUACAGAAAAACAAAUACAGGAUGACGAAUAACACUCUUCACCUUGCUUCUUUAACCUUUUUAUAUAUGCGUCUAUCCAACAGCUUUUUCUUUCUUUGAGUAGCACUUUUAAAAACAAAGUUUCAGAACCUUUGAACACCUCAAAGCGAGGGGUGUAGGACCAGAAUGAAAAACACCAAAAGCAAAAUAGGACAAUCCUGUACAGCAGCUCUCUAAGGCUGAUGGCUCACCACGUACAAACGACUCAGGGUCAAUGGCUCCUCAAUACUUCACCUGUCACUCAAACACAGACACAGCUGGAAAAAGUUCAGGAAAAUAAUUUUGCUAGACACUUACACACUCAGACAAACCUAUGGAUGCUUUAAUGUCUCUGUCCCAGCCCGGAUCCUGGACAAGCCCCCAAACGUU